AGCUGGGGUCACACAUUCACGAUUUUUACUACCCUCCUUGACAGGACCAUUCCCGAUUAAAAGUUAUUAAAAGUCUGAUCAAGAUCCUGUGAAUCGUGGAUGGAAAUUCAAACUUUAAUUAAAAUUUGUAAAAAAAAAAUAAUUUGAUCAUGACAACAAUCAGAUAGUGUUCAGGAAGCGUCGAUAUUCAACCUUUUCCAAGGGAAUAUGUCCCGAUAACCCCGUUCUGAAUCCGCUUCUAAUCCGAUUCGUAUUUUUCGCCUGGUAAAAUUCGACAGAGUCUGUCACGACUGCGUCUCGACUCUACCGAAU
rnacentral:lncRNA from 1 species